GGGAUUGUCAGAGGGGACUAAGCCUAGUUUAGAAGAUAAAUUUGGGAUUUUUUUGAAGAAAACGGAAUCACUUGUUGGUAUACCCGUUGCACGACUUCCUAAUUUGGAGCAAUACCAAUGAAUAUGUUCAGUUUUUGCAUAUUCAUAAACAAUAUGAUAUGUAUGUUAAAUAAUUGUUACUACGUAAGAAAAAAAGUAACUACGUAAGAAAACAAAUAAGACUUUACAUAAUAAAGUUGAACCAUUGGAGAUUAUAAUUCAUCUUAGAUUUAAAUCCUAAAAAUUUAUAUGGAUAUAUUUUGAAUGAAAUAUAUGUACUAUCAGUAAUAAAUUUAUAUAUGAUGUAUAGAAUAACUAUUCUUAUAAAGGUUAAUAUAUAUGGAGGUAUCUGAAUUUGGUAACUUAUAUUUAUAUAAUUCCUAAAUCUUUUGGACCUAACUGGUACUUGAAUUUGAAAACUAUAAGCCAACUUGGUACUCUUUUUAGGUGCCAAAUUAACACCAUUAAAAUACACUAACGUGAUGUUGACAACCAAUAGCAUAAUGACACAUUUUAACACGUGGCAAAAAAUAAAAAAUGAAAUUGACUCACUUCCCUCCAACAACAUAUUUGUUCCAUAUCACUGCCCUCAGGCACCUUUUCUAAACUCAUCCAAGCCUUAUUCAUCUAUAACAAAAAUCAUUAGUGAACUAAGAAACAGGAGAACAUAGCAUUCCAAAGUGCCCACUGAAGUUAUUGUAAACAAGAAUCACAAAUAUAUAUAUAUAUAUAUAUAAAGAAAAGGAGGGGUGUUUAGAUUUUAUAAAAAUGAAAAAAAGAAAGAAAGAAAAAAGACAAGAGGGUUUACCUUGUAGGAAAUGAGACCAGAAACUCAACAUUAGCACGGAGGAGCUUGGAAUUGGAUUUCGAGCUAGUUUAGCAUUGUUUUUGAAAAAUGCUUUUGAGAAAUAUUUUUGAAAAGCUUAAUCAAGUGAUAAAGAAAUUGAUAAUGAUUUAACAUUUUAAGUAGUAAUGAAUGAAUAUGUUAUCAGCUUUAGAAAGAAAAAAAAAAUCAAAGUGGUAAUAAAUGAUGCAUGUAGUAGAUGUGGUUGCUUUAAAUUAUAAGAUUAGGAACCUCGUGUGUUGGCUUGAUGGUCAGGGAGUACAUUGCCGUAUUGCCUCGAGGCAGCAAUUUCGGGUUUUUUCCAUUUUGUUUAGGAAGAAGGAUGUCUGUUGGGGUUUCUCUAGCAGAGAAGAUGGUGGCACCGCUCUUGGGCUCUUUGGUGCACUCUUUUGAAUGAGGAUUGUUAGAUGUUAGAGGGGACAAAGCCUAGUUUAGUAGAUAAAUUUGGGAUUUUUUUUGAAGAAAAAGAAAUCACUUGUUGCUAUACCCGUCGCACGACUUCCUAAUUUAGAGCAAUACCAAUAAAUAUGUUUAAUUUUUGCAUACUCAUAAACUAUAUAAUAUGUAUGUUAAAUAAUUGUUACUACGUAAGAAAAAAGUAACUUCUUAAAAAAAUAAAUAAGACAUUACAUAGUAAACUUGAGCCAUUAGAGAUUAUAAUCCAUCUUAGGUUUAAAUCCUAAAAGUUUAUAUGGUUAUGUUUUUGAAUGAAAUAUAUACUUGUGCUUAUAUAGUUUACUAUCACUAAUAAAUUUAUAUAUGAUGUAUAGAAUAAUCAUUCUUAUAAGGGUUAAUAUAUACGGAGAUAUCUGAAUUUGGUAACUUAUAUUUAUUUGGUACCUGAUUUUGAAAAUCAUAAGCUAACUUGGUACUUUUUUUUUAGGUACCAAAUUUAACACCAUUAAAAUAUAAUAACGUGAUGUUGACAAUCAAUAGCAUAAUGACACGGUUUAACAUGUCACAAAAUAAAAAUAAAAAUGAAAUUGAUUUUUAGCACUAAGUCGUACACUGGGAGCAUGCAGUAUAUGGUAUUUCAAAAGAAAUUAUGAAAGCAUGGGCAACACAGUUUACGAUACCUUUGGAUGAAUAGUGCGUUUACCUAUGGUUAGUGUAAAAACAACGAUGACGGUGAAAUUAGAUACUAUAGCAUAAAGCAAAAAGAAAGAUAAACACAUCGCAUUGGAGGUAAACGUUCAUCCAAAGGGGCCCUUAGACUACUUCAAUCUAGGUGCACAUGAACCAGGUUACUGAGCUUCCAUCCAAUCCUACAACAACCGAUAGGCCAUGAUAAUGAUAUCAUUUUUAGUCCUUAUAAUUUUAAAAUUUUAAUUUUAAUUAAUACAAUAAUUGUAAAUUUUAUUUAUUAAAAUAAUGUUAUUUUUUAAGUAUCAUGUAAAAAUAAUAAAUUUACAUAAAUGUUUAAAUUAUCGAAAUUAAUAAAGAUUUCCUCAUUAUAUAGGUGCAAAUUGACAUAUGGAUAUAAAUAUUUUCAAUAAAAUAAUUGACUAGUACGCUUUGAGUUGAUCAGAAUCUUGGUCAGCAGAACUGUGUUGACAGUAGACUUUUGCAAAAUUAUUCAUGCCACAUUUUGUCUUUUUUAAGUUGAAUAGUUCCUAAUUCUAUUUUUAUAAUUUAUUUGAAUUUUUAUUAAGUUUUUAUAAUAUUUAUAUAUUUUUAGAAUUUUUAAUGAAUUUUAUAAUUUUUUAAAGUUUAUAUAAGAUUUUAAUAUUUUCAUAAUUUUAAUAUUUUUAUGAUUUUUAUUUGAAAAAUGAAAUAUUAAAUCAGAGCUAUCAUAGUGUUGCCUUCUGAUUAGUCCAUUAAUUAACUUUAACAAUCAAUAUGAUCAAAGACAAAAAUUAUUAACGGAAGAGCUUAAUUGAUUUUUAGUUUAUUCUUAAGCACAAAUGGUACGUAACUCUGUAAAGUCGAUAUAAAGACAACAGUGAUUCAAACACAUGAAAACAAAGAGCUUAACCUAUGGAAACAGACACAAACUAAUUUAUACAAUGUGUAAAUGAUGAGGAUUUAUUUUUUUAUUAAGAUUAAAUUGACACAGUAUAUAAAUAUUGAGAGUUAAAGUUGCUAUUAUGCUAAUUUAAAAAAAUUAUCACAGUUAAUCAACUAGUGACAAAAAGAUACAAUAUUGAAUAGUUGGUGACCAUUUUGUAAUUUUGCAUAUUAGGGCAGCCAAAAAAAUUUACUAAUAGUUGGGUGAUAAUUUAGUAACUUUCCUCUUAGUUGAUUGAUUAAAAAAUAAUAAUAAUUGGAUAACUACGAGUGCAGUUUACCUUUUAAUUUUUUUAAUUGUGUUUGAUAACUAUGUUAAUUUUUUACUUAAUAUGAAAUUUUCUAUAAAAAAAGUCUUGAAUAUGUUAGGUAAGUAGAUAGCUACUUAUAACUUAAUAUGGAAAAUAUUAUGUUGAUUUUUCAAAACCUUACUUAUAACUUAAUAUGGAAAAUAUUAUGUUGAUUUUUCAAAACCUUACUUUUGAAAUAAAUUAUUUUCUCAUUUUCAUAAAAAUUAAAAAUUAAAAAAUUAUUUUUAAAAACUUUCAAAAUAAAAUAAAUAAUACCAUAUUACUAAGAUUAAAAUUAUAAAAUAAUAAAUUUUAAAAAAAUCAAAAUAUAUUAUUAUCAAAUAAAAAAAUUAUAUUCUACUAAUAUAUCAAAUAGUUUUAUAAUAUGAAUUUAAUAAUUAUAAAAUUCAGAAAGUUUCUGUUUAUAAAACACACCCUUAUGUUAUAUUAAUAGUGGAAUAAGUCUGUUUUAGUCUUAUAUCCAAUUUCUCAAUUUCUUUUUCUUGUACGAAAUUUGGUAUCGGAGAAGGAAAAGUUAAUAAUAAAUACAAGAAAUUUUAUUCAUAUAUAUAUAUAUGUUUGUAGAAAUUGUGUAUUUAGAAUAACAUAUAAUAAAUGAUGAAACAAAUUGUUUGAAAUUAAUUAAUAAUAAGGGGUAUUUAAUACACUGGUAAUAUAUAUUUUUUAUUCCAUAAAUACCUUAAAAUUUUGAAAUGUGUUUUUUAUUUAAUAUUUAUUUUAUAAUAUUUUACUAAACCCCUAUAAGACACUUGUAACUCCCCAACCCGGCCUAAACAUUACGGCCGAAUCCGAAAGCGUUACGUAAGAAUACUAAAAAUCCAACUUCCUUUUAAUAUGAAACCAUCGUAAACCGUUGUUACUUAGUAAGCCUGAUUUGUUUGGAAAACGUGUUGACAUAUUUAUUUAAUUUAAAAAUCGUUAUUCAUUUACGUCUUUCAAUUAAAUCAUUUAUUUUGCAGCGGAGUAUCUUAAAAAGUUAUAUUUUAGUCAAUUGAAUUGUUUCAUUAAAAACCGUUAUUUUCAAAAAAAAAUUAUCAUUUUCGUAAAAACCCGUUUUAUCGGUCUUUAUGCUAGAAAACCAAAAUAAAAAUCCAAAACCAAAAAUAGUCCGAAUAGUAAAAAUAGUUUUACGGUGUUGUGAACACAAUCGAGCUCUCGUCGUACUGACCCCCUAAGUUUGAGGGUUACCUGAAAGUAACAGACAAUAGAGAGUGAGUUUUGAUAACUUCUUCUGUAAUGCAUACAUAAACAUAAAGUCAAAUUCAAUCAGAUGGCAAAAUAGAUACAGACAUAAGUCUUUUAUAGAAUUAGAUUCAUAACAGAGUCGUAUAGAUACAGAUAUGCAUGGUCCUACCCCCAUCCUUUACACACCAACUCCGACCAUCCAACACACCAUAUGGGGUAUUAAACACCGACCCAGCCUAAACACCGCAUAGUGUCCAUACUACACUUUUCAAAAUAAUCGCAGCAGUGCUACCAGAAUAUUAACAAGAUAUCGCCUCACACAGAUUACUUUCUCCACAUAAUACAUACCCCGCCCCAUAUUCAGAUACAAAUAGAAUACCAGAUACAACAAAAUUAACAGAUACCAAAAUUAAUAUAUCAGGCAUGCUCGUAUAACAAAUAAUAAACAUGCAUAUACAUAGUAGAUAAUUUCGCAUUACAUUACAUGCAUUUAGGUGUUGUUUGCGUCAGAUUCCAUAUAAAAAAAUUAUCAGAUUCCAUGCUUUAAGGCUUGCCUAAACACAUACAAACCCCACAAAAGGCCCACAGUCAAUCAGAUAACAUGCACGACCCUAAGGAAAAAUUCUAAAUUUUGGACCCACAUGGCCCAAAGUGGCUUGCCCGUGUGGCGUCGAUAGGCCCCAAUUUUGACUUUUACCGAUUGUCGUUUUUUGAGUUUCUCGUUACACACCUAGUUCGCUUUCGAUUCGGAAGCACUCAUGAGCCUACCAUCACCUGAUUAAAUAGAUCUCAAGUCAAUUAAUACAUUCCUACAUUGAAUCUAAAUUCAAAAAUUCACAACACAAUAGCCUUAGUUUAACGUUUAACAACUUACCUCCAAAUAAACAGCCGAACACAACGCACCUAACUUGUCGAAGGAUCAAUCGCUUCGUGAACUUCUCCUAACAACACUUAAAUGAUUAAUACGACACCACAUAUAGCUUAUGAACAACAAAUAAAAUCGAUAAAGCAAAUCAUAACACUUACUCAAGAAUGGUUUAACUAAAAAUUCACAAGACACCACCACCAAAAAAUGUUUGAAAAGGGGUUUGUAAAUGAUUAAGCAAGAACAAUUGCAACCAAAACAAGUACUGAUUCCCAUGUGAACAAUUUCACAAACACAAAAUAAAAACUUUGAGGCGCUACAACUCUCCUCCCCUAAAAGAAAUUUUGGCCUCAAAAUUUACUUGAUUCAAACAGAUAUAGAUACUAUUGACAAAUUGAGUCCUCAGAUUCUUACGUUGCUUCUUCGGUACCGUGAUUUCGCCACAAAACCUUAACCAACGGAAUAGAUUUCCUCUUUAAGACCUUCACAUCUCGAUCUAGAAUCUAAAUGGGUUCCUACUCAAAAGUCAAAUCUUCUCUAACCUCAAUCUCCUCAACGAAAAUAACAUGCGAUGGGUGAAACAAUACUGCCUUAAUAUAGAUAUAUGAAACAUAUCAUGGAUACAGUUUAACCCCAGAGGUAGCUCUAACUGAUAAGCAACUGGCCCUACACGUUUCAGACUCCGAUACGACCUAAAGAACCUAGGGCUCAACUUGCCAUUAUGUCUAAAUCAUAGAACCUUUUUCUAUGGAGAUACCUUGAGAAACACGAAAUCACCCAUGGAGUACUCAAUAUCCUUCCUUUUCAGACAUAUAUAGGACUUUUGUUUACCAGAAGUCGCUUUAAGAUGAUUCCAAAUCAGUCUAACUUUAUCUUCAGCCUCAGAAAUCAACUCAAGACCUAAAAUCCGUCGCUUACCCAACUCAGUCCAACACAACGGAGUACGACACUUACGACCAUACAAAGCCUCGUAAGGUGCCAUCUGAAUGUUAGACUGGAAACUAUUAUUGUAGCCGAACUCGGGUAAUGAUGGAAAAUCAUCUCAACUGCCUCAGAAAUCAAUCACAUAACUCCAAAGCAUAUCAUCUAGUAUUUGAAUCACUAUAUCAGAUUGACAAUCUGUCUAAGGAUGGAACGUAGUACGAAAAUCCAAUCUUGAACCUAGAGACUCAUAAAAUUUUCUUCAAAAUUGAGAAGUGAAGCAAGGAUAUCUAUCCGAAAUAAUCGAAACAAGAACCCCAUGAAGUUUCACGAUCUCAGAAAUGUAUAGCUUGGCCAACUUUUCAAGAGAAUAAUCUGUUUGAACAAGAAUGAAAUGGACAGACUUGGUCAACCGAUCUAUGAUGACCCACACAGAAUCUUUCUUAGUAGAUGUUAAGGGCAACCCACUAACGAAAUUUAUAGUCACACAUUUCCAUUUCCAUAAGGGAAUCUUAACGAUUUAAAACAAACCUGAAGGCAAUCGGUGCUCAACCUUCACUUGCUGGCACGUUAGACAACGAGAAACAAAGUUUGUCACCUCCCGUUUCAAACUAGGCCACCAGUAAAGUUCACAAAGAUCUCGAUACAUCUUAUUUCCAUCGGGAUACAUAGCAUAAUGGCUACUAUGUGCUUCCUGUAGAAUAGACUGUCUCAAAUCAGAGUCAUUCGAUACAUAAACCUGUCAUCGAACACAUAAAACCCUAUCACCAUUUAGCUCAAAGUCAGAAGUACUACCAUCUUUCAUUUGACGAAAUCGGAGAACCAAAGAAUCAUCCCUCAACAGUUUAUCCCGAAUCUAAUCAAUCCAAGUCGGCUUAACUUGCAACUUAGUUAAAAGACUCCCAUCAUCAAACAGAUUUAGACGAGUAAACAUUGCCUUCAAAUUAAACAUAACCUUACGACCAAGAGCAUCGGCCACUACAUUGGUCUUACCAAGAUGGUACUCAAUAGUACAUCCAUAAUCCUUAAGCAGUUCAAUCCAUCUACGUUGCCUAAGGUUCAACUCUUUCUGGGUAAAGAGGUACUUAAGAUUCUUCUGAUUGAUGUAGAUGAUACACCUCUCACCAUACAGAUAGUGCCUCCAAAUUUUUAGGGCAAAUACCACGACAGCUAACUCGAGGUCGUGCGUCAAAUAAUUCCCCUUAUAUGACUUAAGCUGUAGAGAUGCAUAAGCCACAACCUUAUCAUAUUACAUCAGAACACAUCCCAAAUCGACAUGUGAUGCAUCAUUAUAUACUACAAACUCUUUACCAGAUUCAGGCUGUCUCAAAAUAGGAGCCUGAGUCAAAAUAAAUUUGAGCUUUUCUCAAAGCUUGAUUGAUACUCAUCAGUCCAGACGAAAGGAGCAUUCUUACGCAACAACUUAGUCAAAUGAGCUACAAUAACGAGAACCCCUCAACAAAUCUCUGAUAAUAUCCCACAAAACCUGGAAAACUGCGGAUCUCAAAAACAUUUCUAUGUUGUUUCCAAUCAAGUACAUACCCUAGAAAAGUUACUUCCCUUAACCAGAAUUCACACUUACUCAACUUAGUGUAGAGUUGUUUCUCUUGAAGUAUCUGAAGAACUACCCUAAGAUAUUCAUCAUGACCAACUUCGAACUUAUAGUAUACCAAAAUAUCGUCGAUGAAGACCAUGACGAAUUGAUCAAAAUACGACUGAAAAACCCGGUUCAUAAGAUCCAUGAAUGCAGCCGGAGCAUUCGUCAAACCAAAGGGCACGACUAGGAACUCGUAAUGCCUAUAACGUGUCCUAAAGGCAGUCUUAUGGAUGUCAGCCUCUUUAACCUUAAGCUGAUGGUACCUUGAACAAAGAUCUAUCUUGAAAAACAUAGCAGCCCCACAAAAUUGAUCAAAUAGAUCGUCGAUUCUCGAAAGUGGGUACUUGUUCUUCAUUGUCAACUUGUUUAACUGACAAUAAUCAAUGCACAUCCUUAUGGUACUAUCAUUUUUCUUUACAAACAAAAUUGUGCCCCUAGAGAGACAUAUUGAGACGGAUGAAACCACGAUCAAGGAGUUCUUGAAGCUGAGCCUUUAACUCCACACAGCCUACUACACGGCCAUGUGGCGUUGACAAGCCCCAAUUUCGAAUUUCAUCGAUCAUUGUUUUCCGAGUUGCUCGUUACACUCCUGAUUCUCUUUUGAUUUCAAAACACUCACAAGCCAACCAGCACCUAAUUUAAAUAGAUCACAAGUCAAUUAAUACGUCCCCUCAUCGAAUCUAAAAGCAAAAAUUCGCAACACAACAAUCCUAAUUUAAUGUUUAACAACUUACCCCAAAUGAACAACCGAACACCACCGCUCCUAACUUGUCGAAGGAUCAACCGCUUCGUGAAUUUCUCUUAAUAACACUUAAAUGAUUAACAUGACACUACACAUAACUUAUGCACAACAAAUAAAAUCGAUAAAGCAGAUCGUAACACUUACUCAGGAAUGGUUCGACUAAAAAUUGACAAGACACCCCCACCAAAAAUUGUUUGAAAAGGGUUUGCAAAUGAUUAAGCAAGAACAAUUGCAGUCAAAGCAGGUACUGAUUCCCACAUGAAACAAAUUGUGUAGCAAAUCAAAUGGAAAAGAAAGAAAAAGAAAUUGAAAGAAAAGAGAAAAUUUGGAAGCACAUGGAAACGUGAAAACUAGAAAGGACUUUCAGGUUUGUCGGGAUUUUUUUAUUAAUAUUUUUAUUUAUACAAACCAAAAUUUAAAAACAACCAACUACACUUAGAAUCCACUACCAUCACAAAAUAAACUCAAUUAAUCACACAAAGACUCAAACCCAAAGACCCUUAAUGCAUCAACAAGGCCCUCAACCACUUCAACAAGUACUUAUCACAUGAUAAAAUUUCACAAACACAAAAUAAAAACUUUGGGGCGCUACAACACUUGUUAACCCCUGAUGCUACUUGUGGAGUCUAAAAACUUCAAUGAUAGUGUACUAAAUAAUUUCUCUUAAUAAUAACGCAUGAAAUAUGUACAAUAUUAAAAUGAAAAAUAUAUAUUAGAUGUGAGUAAAACAAAAUUUAAAUAUGUAAACGAUACCCUCGUAAAGUUAAAAUUUUAUUGACAUAAACAGCACAGGUUCAAGUCCAAUCGCACACAAAUUUUUAUUUAGUUAUUCUAAAAAUAAGAAAAAUGACUAAAAUACCCUCAAAUAAUGUAACUUAUUUAAUCACGAAAGGACAUUUUUGUAAUCCUUUUAACUAAGUUUGUACUUAGUUGACUCAUCACACCAACUUAAAGAUUAAUUUAAAUAAUAGUAAGCAUAGAUAAAUACAAUUUGUUGAGGUAAAAUUAAUGUUUUAUUGAAAUAAAUUGCAUGAGUUUAAAUAUGUGAAAGGUCAUUGUAUUCUUUUGAAAAUUAAAAUUUAGUUCUUAUAUUUUAAUUUUGAAACAUUAAGUCCCUAUGUUUUUUUAUUUAAAAAUCUUCAUCACUUUGUCUAAUUUUUUCGUUAAAAUUAAAAAUAACUUUUUUAGCCCUCAAUAUUUAUAAUUUUUUUGUCAAUUUGGUCCUUAACCUUUAAAGUACAUAAAAAUAACUUUUCCAUACUUUAAAUAAAACAUAAUAAAUUAAAAAUAUUAUAUUUUUAAAAAAUGAAAAAAAAACUCUUUAAAAUUCAAAAAAGGAUUUUUAAAAUAUAAAAAUUUCAAAAUUCAAUGUUAUCUAAACUAGACCGAACCAGUAGUUGGACCGGUUGGACUGGGAAUUGGGUGGAGUAUCGAUUAUAAAUCGAAUUAAAUUUUACAAUUUGAAUAUACGAUUGGUGUAAAUACAAUGUUUCUAAAUACCAAAUUAAAUCAUUAUUAACUUUACAUCUAAAAAAAUUUAUAAAAAAAAACUAAAGGAUAUAUAAAAAAACUUAAAAAAUAUAAAAAAAAACCCCUAAACUCUAACCUUACUUUAGAAAUUUAAAAGAUUGAAUCAUUUCCCUCCAACCAUAUCCCUGCCCUUACGCACCUUUUCUAACCUCAUCCAAACCUUAUUCAUCUAUAACAAAAAUCAUUAGCAAACUAAGAAACAAGUGAACAUAGCAUUCCAAAGUGCCCAUUGAAGUUAUUGUAAACAAGAAUCACAAAUAUAUAUAAAGAACAAGAGGGGUGUUUAGAUUUUAUAAAAAUUAAAAAGAAAAAAAAGACAAGAGGGUUUACCUUGUAGGCAAUGAGAUCAACCAGAAGCUCAACAUUGGCACUGAGGUGUUUGGAAUUGGACACACCGUUUGGACACACCGUUUUGUGGUUUGGACACAGCUCUUUUACAUGGCUUGGACACACCGUUUUGUGGUUUUGCCCAGAAUUUUGAGAAUUGUGCAGUUUAGUCCAUGUAUAGUCCUCGAACUAUUUUUGGAGUUUUAUUUCUCUCAAUUAGUCCCUGAUGAUAUGAAUAUUCUUGAGCCUAUGAUCUGAUUGACUGAAUUAUUAUUGUUAUAUGCAUGAUAUGUGAAUAAUACAUGCAUAUCGUCACUGUAUUUCUAAUGAACUGGUAAUGUUAUUCAUACCACUUUGAUACUGAUUGCAUGUUAUGAUGCCUACUGCUACUGUUAAAUCAAAUACAUGUUAAGCAAGUUUAUUGCUACUAUAAUGAUCUGUUAUAAGCAUGUUAAUUGCUACCUUAUUGAUCUAUUAUAAGCAUGAUAUAUGCUACUGUAUCAACUUUCUAUAAGAAUGUUAUUGCUAUCGUAUUGAUCUAUUAUAAGCAUGUCAUGUUGCAUUGCAUGGAGUGGGAUGAUCUGAACGGAGGAAGGUUCAACAACUUAUUUGCAACGACAGUGGUUUAUCCACAAUGUAUUUUAGUUAGCAGUUUGUCUGCAAUGACUAGUGGUUCAUCCACAACAUAUUUUAGUCGGUAAUUUAUCUGAAAUAACCAGUGGUUCAUUCACAACAUAUUUCAGUCAAUAGUUUAUCUGCAACAACCAGUGGUUCAUCCAUAACAUACUAGCAACUUUCAUCUACAUUGAUGGAUGGUUCAUCCACCAAUAUUUUUAUCAUUAGUAGUUCAUUUGUAAUGAUCAAUGGUUUAUCCAUAACAUGGUGUAAAGGUAGAGGGUUCUGGGGAAAUCCUAUUGUAGUGUGUAGCGGAGUUGGGUAGGAUCUAUUAUAAUAAAUUGAAAUUGCAUCACCAUUCAUGAGCAUGUGCAUUCAUAAACUGUGAAUUCUAACAUAUUAUAAAAUUAGCGUGUUGAUCUAAAGAAUUGAUGCUUUGAACCACUAUAUGAGUGUGAUUUUUCUGAGAAUUUCUAUGUUGUAUGAGUCAUCUACUAUUUGCAUUGAUUUACUUGUGAUAUGAGUCAUACUGAGCUUCAUAAGUUCACCCCUUUUUAAUUUUCAUCUUUACAAAUAGCCCACCAGGUUAGGACGUGGACAUGGCAUCCAGAAGGUCUCGACUCGGGUUGAAUGUUUUUUAUGAGAGUAUUUUAGAUUUAUUCGAAUAAUUCGAAUAAUUGUAAUAUCAAACUAUGAUAUUUUACAUUUUACCCCAAACUCCUAAACCUUUUUACUUUUCCCUCAAAACUUUUACUCCUUUCCACUUCCCCCCAAAACUUUUACUUCUCUCCCCUCCCAACCCCCCAAUCUACCUAAAAUCUAUUUCCUACCAAAAUUUUACUCUCACAUUUACUUUUUCUCAAAAUUUUACUCCCAAAAACCCUCAAAACCAUUUAUUUUCCCCCAAAAUUUUUACUCCCUCCCACUUUUCCCCUAAAAUUUUUAUUCCCUUCCCAUUCCACCUCCCAUCUACUCCAAACCCUCCCCCCUCCAAUUUUUUUUUUAAUAUUUUCCCUCCAAAAUUUUACUACCCCUAUUUACAUUCCCUCAAACUUUUAUUCCCCAAUACUUUUUAUUUCCCCCCUAAACUUUUACUUCUUACCCUUUACUCUCAAAUAAAAAAUUAAAAUUAUCCAAAAAAAAUUACUAAACAUAAAUAGUAAUAAUUUUAUUUAUAUCUACUAUUUAUAUUAUUAAAUUAAAUUUCACAUUUUAUAUUAUUUAUAUUAUUGAAUUGUUUAGUCAUAUUUAAUAUUUAUAUUAAAAUUGAAUUAUUAAUUAUGCCAUAAAAUAUUCGUGUUAAAAUUUUAUAUUGGUAUCAAUUUCACAUUUUAUUUUUAAAUAACUUUUAUUAAAAAACCAUAUUUUUACAUUUAAUAUAUUUUUUAAUUCCAAAAUACAUAGUGACAAGAAUUUGAAAAUAAUUGAAACAACUAAGCAAGCAAAGAAGCUAACCAGUAUAUAAAAAAUUAAUAAAUAAAUUAUGAGGCGGUGAAAGUUAAUAAAAAAUUUGAUUAAGAUGGACAAAUUUUAUUACGAUGGGUGACAAUGGUUACAAGGACCCAAAAUUAUUUUUUAAAAUUUAACUCGAACAAAUAUAUUCGAUUCGAUUCGAUUCGAAUUCUAUCUCACUCGACUCGAUUCGAGAAAACUUCAAAUAAAGUUAGGAUGAUAAAAUGAGAUUCGAAAACUUGAUUAACUCAAAAAUUUUCGAUUCGAUUCGAUUCGAUCGAAUGCUCACCCCUACUUAUAUAUGUGCAUUAACGUAUGUACAUUUUUUUUUAUUUUUUACGAUUUUCAUAUUCACCCAUACAUGCAUUUUUUAUAUAUAUUGCAUUCCAUCUUUUUAUAAGUAUUAUCGUAUGUGUGUUAAAUAUAUGCGUACACAUAUUUUCAAAUUUACUUGUAUAUUGUACUUUUAUAUGUAUAUUUGUAAAUAUUUAUUCCUAUAUGUUUUAAAUUAAAGUAUUUGUAUCAUAUUGUACAUUAAUUUUUUAACAUAUCCUUUUUGAAAAUAUAGUUUGGUUUUAACCAUACAUCAAAGUUAUUUUCUUGAUUCAAAGGUUUUUUUUUUGAAUAAAAGCAAUAUUCGAAAGUUUGGGAUUUUCGAGAGAAAUUGAGCCUUAAUGUAUUGGGUUCUGAUUUUCUUUGUUAAUUUUAAAUAACCGAGGAUAUUCUUUAUUCAAAAUGCAUGAGUAUAAAAAUCAUUUUUGGGAACUUAACUUGUUGUGUCCUAACGCAUUGGGUGUGGCAUGUUACUUUCUCAAAAUGAAGAUUUUCACAUAAAAUAAAAGUGAUAUUCAAAGUUCGGGGAUUAUGAGGAAUUGUACCCUAACGUAUUGGGACUCGAUUUCUUUACAUGACUUGAACAAUUGAUUAUCCUUUUUCAAAUUUCAUCAUUUGAGUUGAUUUUAAAAUCUUUUUAACCUUCGACACUAAGACAUUAAAUGAUCAAUUUGGUACCGAUUUUAGGCGUUACGAGGGUGCUAACACUUCUUCGUGCGUAACUGACUCCCGAACUCGUUUUCUCAAAAUUCGUAGACCAAAAUAAUUUUUAAGGUGAGCCGAUCACACCUUAAUAAAAGAUCGGUGGCGACUCCAACUUUAUUUUUAAAGUCGACAACUAAAAUUUUUGUUUUCAAAAAAACAGUUUCGACAUAUACAUUAUGUAUUAAACAAAUACAAACAUACUACUUAAUAUAUAAAGUAAUUGAAUUAGGAGAGAAGCAAAGCGAUAGUAACUAAUGUUUUAAUUUUUCGACUUUUAAAAAUUUAUUAAUUAAUUUAUUUAAUUUUAAAAUGAAAAAAAUACUUAUAUUCAUAUUUUGAGAAAAAUAAAUUAAAAUAUAUUUUAUUAAUAAAUAAAAAUUCAAGUCAACUUACAAACUAAAUUACAAAGUAUCUUGUCCAAAGUUCAACAGGAAAUGCCAUUAGCUUACCAUUGGGUAGGAGUAUUGGAUUAGUUUAUAAUAAUAAUAAUUAUAAUAAUUUAGAUAUUGAGGUUGAAAAAUGUGCUUCUAAAAAUUGCUCUUCAAAAUUUUGAUAAUAUUUAUCAUUACUAUUAAAAGGUGUUUUUUGAAAAGAUAAAAUAUCCAUUAUGGACAGUAUAUUGUAAAAUUAAAGAUUUAAUGAUGUAUAAAAAGAUAAUAUUCUUGAAAAGUGCUUUUUCUGAAAAUCAAAAGUUAAAAUUUUUGGCUUGGGUUAAAAUCCUGGUUAAGAUUUAAGGUGGAUUACAAAAAUAAAAUCUAAUCUUGUAUCCCCACUAAUAGUUUCCAAAUUCGAGUAAAUGAAUUAAGGUACGUUUGAGUCGAUCAUGCUCAGAAGAUGAUUAAGAGAAGGAAAUCUAUAUUCUCCCUAUAUUUUCAUUUUGUCCCAAUGUGGUGUCUUGUGAUAUUGAUCUACUACAACCAGAGGAGCACUCUUUUGAUCCAUGGCAUUAAAAUUAGUAAGAACAGUAUCUUUGUCUCUCAUUUGUUCUUCCGAGCUAAUAUUGAAGAAUGUAGUAUGGUGAAAUCAAUUUUUGUUUGGAAGGAGUGUUUAAUGCUACAAAGUCUGAUCUAAUAGUUAAUCCUUAGUCACUCUUUAAGUUCAUGAGUAUAUUUAAAAAAAAUCCUGAAUGUCAUGUUUCUAAGCAUCCCAGAACCUAUUCAGGAUUUAUAUGGAGCAUCUGUGGGGUAGAAGAAAGUUCUUUCAACCUAGUUUCAUUUACCUUAGAUUAUCUAAUUAAAAGAAAAUUAAAAUAAUUGUCCCUUAUCAAUACUUAAGUAAUUCGGUGUAAAUAUAUUUGUUUUUGGCUUUCACUGCUGACCAUUUGGCACCAUUUUGUCCCUUACCAAUACUUAAGUAAACCGGUGUAAAUAUCUUCUGUUCUCCUCAAACCUCCUGUUGAACGUCUAAAUGGUGUGAUUAUGUCGAGUCGAACUUGAUACGCAUAGCACACAUUACGUACAAAAUGGUUAGUUAUUAUAGGAACUAGAAUUGAUUUUAUUUUCUUGCGAGUUUUAAAUAACUUUAUAGAAUCGGGUCUCGUUAUUAUAUAACGUAGGUUUGUUUCAAGUUCGAAAGUUAUAUCAUUUUAUUAUUUCCAAGACAUUACCUAUUUAGAAACGGUCCGGAAACUAAAAUCGUGACUUGUAAACUUAACACGAGCUGAAAUCUUUUGAUCAAUCCUUUUUUUUCUUCAGUUUCUUUUUUUUUCUUUUGUCUUUUGUUGCUUCAAACCCCGACAAAUUCUCUUUUGAAUCGAUUGUUUAUUGUUUGAAUCGAUUCAUCGUGGUUUAAAUCGAUUCUUUUUUGAAUUAACUCAAUUAAAAAACCUAACAUCCCGCCCAUAUGAGCUGGUAUAUAUACAGCAGACGUACUUAGGGGAAUAAGAAACGUAAACAUGGAAUAAAUGAUUUGACACAGGUUGGGGCACAAGUCAAGACAGAAAAAAAAAAGUAAUGUGAAAUUUUAAUGCUUGAUUUGAUUUUCAAGCAACCCAUUUGAUACUCUUUUUUUUUUUUGCUUUACAAGGACAUGAAUAAAAACUGGCGAGCUGAAGUUGAUCUUGGCAGUGUUCCUGAACAUCCAUUUAUCCUUAUUGGAUAAUGUGGCCCUCUGACACUUCCCAUAAUCCAUUUAAUGAACUGAUCUUUUAAGGAUAUUUCACUUUUUUAGUUUUUACAAGUAAACUUUAAGAACAAUGCAAGUUUAACAUCGAUCGGGCACUUAAUCAACUCGAGAAAUCCAAAUUUAAAUUGAUCAAAAUUUAGAAGGAUUCUAAUAAAAAGAAAUUUAAACUUAAAAUAAACUGAUUUAAAAACCCAAAACCUCAAAUUUAAUUGAAUUGAAUUUAAAACUAUUCAAGUCGAAUCCAAAAUUACUUAAAACUAAAAUAUCCUAAAAAUGUUAAAACUUGAAUUGAUUGAUCCAAAUCACCCAUCCGUUCAAUUGAAUGACCACACAUCAUCGUCAUCACCCACAUAAGGAGUAUAUAGAUUUUUUUGUAUAAUGAUUACCUAUAGUGCGAAAGCCUCAAUUGAAGAUUGAAAUUGUAAUAGCUCUAGAAGUCAAUCGACAACAAGUUGAGCAAUAAAUUUGGAGUGACUGUAUUAUAAAAUAAGAGAUUAACGUGUUAUAAAAUAAAAAAGACAAAAAAGUAAAGAACAAAGAGAAUGAGAGAGCAAAUAGAGAGCAUAUUUUAUUGAUCAAUCGCAAAUUAUUUAUAAUGUUUCUUCAAAGUCUAUAUUUAUGGACAUAAGAAGUAUAAAUGAAAUAAAGCUCUAUUUCUAAUGACCAUUAAAAUUUAAAGUAUAUCAAAACUUAUCUAGAUCUUGAUAGACAUCCAUUUAAUAAUAAAAAUAUCCAUAACAAUUUUUUCUUUUUUUAACCUAUUUUGUUUCUUGACAUAAUUUUUCGUUAUAAGAAAAGAAAAUUUUAGAAUAAUUUUUAUUUCUACAAUUUAUAUUUUGAAAAAUAAUUCAAAUAAAUUGAAAUUUUGAAUAGAAUCCAAAAAAGAAAAUUUUGUGAAAUAUUUUGUAUUUUCUUGGCUAAAAGAUUAUAUUAAAUUCAAUUUCACAAGCCUUUGUAAUAUCAAAUUUGGAUGUUCUUCAAAGGCAUGGAACCCGACUUAAAAUAUUAGUAAUUUGGUUUCUAGAAGUACAAAAAAAGCAUGUAAUGAUCUAAACUUUUUUUUUUUUUUGGUUAUGUUCUAUUUUUAAUUUAUUAUUGGAUUCUAUUGAAUUAUAAUUUUAUAUAUUUCCCAUACAUAUUAGUUCUUCACCAACAAUAUUUUUGAGAUUUUUUUAUUUAGAAUUUUCUAUUUUUUUAAUAUUUUAAAACUUUAUAUAGAAUCAAUGUCAAAUUGAAAAAAAUAUAAAAUAUGAGGACUAAAAUUGUUAUUAUACCUACUAAAAAAGUGUCACAUACUUAACAGUCGAGUGAGCAAUGAAAACAAUCUUGAAAAUGUUAGUAACCAAAUUGUAACUUUUUUUUAGUUAGAUGACCAAAAUGAAAACUUCCUCAUAAUUUAGUGACUAAUGGUAUAGUUUACCCGAAAACAAUCAACUUAUAAUUUUAACCAAUGAGGAGACUUUGAUAUUAUUGGGAGAGGUUGAAUUUUUUAAGUAUUUUGUAUUAAUAUAGUUUAAGUUAUAUAAUGUGUAAUUGUCAUACGUGGAUAUUUAGUUCCACAAUGUGUUGUUGUUAUGUGUAGAUUUUAGUUUAGUGGAUUGAUUUGAUCAGUUCAAAUUAUUUCAACAUUUAAUGAGCUUUAUAUUAAUUUAAUUCUACUUUAUAAUUUAUUCAGGCAUGUAUUUGUUAUUAUACUAUAAUCACAUUGUAUUGUAAUUGUAAACUAAAACAAAUUUUAUAAUUUAUAUUGUUUUUUAAUAUUAGUUUUACAACCUCACUCAUCAAGAAUUAGUCACUAAAUUUGGGUUAUAAUUAUUUGAUUAUUGAGACUCUGGGUGAAUUUUUUUAGGUAUAAUGAUUUAUCUGACUCUUUAAAUUUAUAUAAAACAAAAAUCAUUUUAGCUUUCCAUUUAAAUUGUUAUUUCUUUUAGCUCUUAAAUUUGUGUUUUUUGUUAAAUCAUCCCAAAAUGAAUAAAAAAAUUAACGUAUGUUAACUUUGUUGACGUUGCAUACAUGUAGAUUGCUAUGUGGAUGCUACCUCAACAAAUAAUUUUUUAAAAAGUUUAAUCAUAAAAAGUCAACAAUCCAAACCCAAAUUGAUCAAAACCUGGAAUGAUUCUAACAAAAAGAAAUUUAAACUUAAAAUAAACUGAUCAGAAAACUAAACUUAAAUGAAUUGAAUCCAAAAUUACUUAAAACUAAACCAUCCUAAAAAUGUUAAAAAUUGAAUUGAUUGAUCCAAAUCACCCAUCCGCUCGAUUGAAUGUCUAAUUAUAGGUAAUAAUUGAAGAUCGUUUAACUACUAUUCGUUUUACCAUUUUUGUUAAGUUAAAAGUUGUAUAUAGAGGGAGGGAGAAGUAGAAAAUAUUUUUAAAGGCCGAAAUUAAAUUAUAACUUUUUACGAUAGUAAAAGUACAAUUUCACAAUUUCAUAACUUUAGUAUUGAAAAUGAAAACGAACACGGGAGUCGCCACCAAUCCUUUUAGAUGAGGUGUGAUCGGGUUACCUCAAAAAGUGAUUAUUUUUGAAUACGACUUGAUUUAUUAAGACAACGAUUUUGGUCCACGAAAUUCAGAAAGAUGGGUUCAGGAGUCAAUUACAUACGAGGAAGGAUUAACACCCUCGUAAUGCCCAAAAUUUGGUAUCUAGUUAAUUAAUUAGUGACUUAGUGUCGAAAAUUAAAAUUUUGAAGAAAUUUUAAAAUACGAUCCUUUGUUAAAAUGAAAAAUUUUUCGAGAACAGGGCAUAUUUCACGUUAAUCGAGAAAAAGAAUUACGUUCCAUAAGUUAGGACACAAUGUCUUGAAUUCCUGAUACAAGAAUAAAUACCGAAAAGUAUAUUUAUUGAAAGGUAUUUGAUUCUCUUGGUUUUAGGAAGAAAGCAUACUUCGUAAGUUAGAAUACGAUUUUUCUUAAUUCCCAAGAUUAUUUAAAAAAAUUACUAAAAAAAUGUUCGUUUAUUUGGAUUUGUCGAGAAAAUCGAAACCCCGUAAAUUAGGGAACGACCUUUUGAAUUUUAAAGUAUGUAAUAUUGCUUAUUUUAAAAAAAUGAAAUUUGAUGUAUAGAGUGAAGAUUAAUGUAACACGAUUUUAUAGUAAAAUGUAAAAAUAUAUUACGGUGCUAGUAUGCAUAACGGACUAAUAACAAAUGUGAUAAUAUAAAUAACAAUAAUACGAGCAAGAAUAAAGAUAAGAUAAAUAAAAAAAGCAAACUAAUUAUAAAAAGAGUAAAUAAACAAAUAAAAACUAAUAAAGAGUUUAAAUAAAAAUUGAAAAUAAACAAACGAAUAAAAGAAUGAAAAUAUUAAAUAAAACAAAUACAAAAGUGAUAAUAAUAAUAAUAAUAAUAAUAAUAAUAAUAAUAAUAAUAAUAAUAAUAAUCCAGAUUUUGAAAGUAUAAAAGAUAGAAAUAAAUAAAUAUUAAAAUGACAUAAUAAAAUAAAUAUAUUUAAAAUAUUUAUAUAAAUAAAUAAUUAAAAUAAUAAUAAUGCAAAAUUAAUUAAUAUAAUAAUAUAGUAAUAAUAAGUAAAUAAAUAGAAGGAAAAAAAUAAUAAUACUAAUGAUAAUAAUAAUUAAUUGAUUAAUUAAUUUAACAAUAACAUAGAAAAAAAUAAAGAAAUAAAAAAUAAUGCUAAUAAUGAAACACAAAAAAAAGGAAAAUAAAUAGUUAAAAAAGCUAUUUAAAAAUACCAAUUUAAUUAAAAUGGGAUAAUAUUAAAUACAGUGACUAAAUAAAUAAUAAAAAAGAAAUCGAGAAUGUACCGAAAACCCAAAGCUACGGGCUUGAUUGAAUGGGCUACACGACUCGAACUAUUAUUUUUCUUUUUGUUUCUUUUUGCAGGUAGCAGGUAGCUAGGGAGGAGUGAGGCCAUGCCCUAGGCCGGUGGUCGGAAAAUCGGGGGUAGGUGCGCAAAUCACGCUUGGCUGCCAGAAGGACCAGAUUGCAAACACAACAAAAUUUCUGAGGCCAAAGUGUGAUUUUGGAAAAUUUGGGCUCAAAAUGUAAUUUUAAGAAAUUUGAGAGUUAAAUUGUAAUUUUAAAUUUUUUAGAUUUUAUUUAUCUUAGGCCCGGGCAAAAUUGGCCUUGUAUGACAAUCCAUAACAAUAGAUAAGCCAGACAAUACAAAAAAAAUCAAGACAAAGACGUGCCAAAAGGCAGAAAAAACCGUGCUAGAAAGAGCAGACAAAUUAAAGGAUAAAUUCAAACAUUUUAAUAUGGAAAAUUUUAUUGACAUUUGAUUGGUAAAUAUGGAUUCCCUUAUACGGAGGCUAUUGCAGCUCGCCUUAAACGUUCAGCCUUCUAAGAAAAAAACUAAGAUGAUUUUAGAAAGAAAAAAAAAUGCUCUUAAUUAUUCCAAUAUGAAUUUAUUUAUUUUUCCCUUCAAUUACAAUUUAUAUAUAAAUAUAUAUAUAUUACACAAAUUACCAAAUUAAAAUAGUAUUACAGUCUUAAAUUUUAUAAAUAAUAUAAUUGAUAAAAAAAUUAUAUACAUAAUUAUAAUUUGGUAAUAAUUUCAUAUAUAUUUAAAAGAAGUAUAUUUAAUUAAUUAUGCCAAAAAAAUGCAUAGAGUAAGUAACAAGUAUUUAGAAAUUUGACUAAGCUCGGAUCUUAAAAUCAACUUGAGAAAAUUUAGGGUGAAAAAGUAGACUUUUUUAAUGACAUUCAUGCUGACAAAGUUGAAUAGUUACCAAUUUGCGAAUAAGAACGGAUUGGUUGAAUCGAUUUUAAAUUGAUCGGACCAAUUGAUUCUCAAUUCGACAUAUUUAAAGUAAAUAAAUUAUUAAAAAAUUAAAAAUAAAUAGUAUAAUAUUAUAAUAUCGAUUCAAUUGCCAAUUCAAUUAACUAGGUUCAAUCAGUCUAUACUAAUUUACAAAUUAACUAGUGUUCUUACCNNNNNNNNNNNNNNNNNNNNNNNNNNNNNNNNNNNNNNNNNNNNNNNNNNNNNNNNNNNNNNNNNNNNNNNNNNNNNNNNNNNNNNNNNNNNNNNNNNNNNNNNNNNNNNNNNNNNNNNNNNNNNNNNNNNNNNNNNNNNNNNNNNNNNNNNNNNNNNNNNNNNNNNNNNNNNNNNNNNNNNNNNNNNNNNNNNNNNNAUAAUAGAUUUUUUAUAUUUUAAAUUAUUUUUAAAAAAUCUAUAUAUUUUAAGUUGAAUUGUCGAAAUUAAUAAUUUUUUUUCCAUUUGGUGUUAUAAGGAAAUUCCUUUCUAGUUUGAAGCGUUUUUCUACAUUUCAACUGAAAACGCUUUUAGCUCCUUAAAUCGGCAUAUUCCCUUAAUUAUUCUAAAAAACAAGAGUUACUAUUAUUAAAUAAAAUAACUAUAUUCAAUGUUUGUUUUUUACUAAUAUAUCAAAUACUUUUACUAUAUGAAUUUAUAAUUUCCUAGCUAUACAUUCAGUUGCUCUCUCUAUAUAACUCCAUUUCUUCUGCAUUCAAUCAUUGAAAACAAAAAUGACCAACUUAUACAACAAGCACGCAGUUCUUGCUUCCGAAGGCUGGUCAUGGGGCUGCCAUGCCCCUGAAUUCGCUCCUCUUAUGGCGGGGGCACUAGUAAUUUUCUGCUGUGCAUGGUGGUGGUGGGAUUUGAAAUUCACCAAAAUAAACCCACCUCUACCACCUGGUCCUUUANNNNNNNNNNNNNNNNNNNNNNNNNNNNNNNNNNNNNNNNNNNNNNNNNNNNNNNNNNNNNNNNNNNNNNNNNNNNNNNNNNNNNNNNNNNNNNNNNNNNNNNNNNNNNNNNNNNNNNNNNNNNNNNNNNNNNNNNNNNNNNNNNNNNNNNNNNNNNNNNNNNNNNNNNNNNNNNNNNNNNNNNNNNNNNNNNNNNCAUCCGCUGUGGUCGGCACAUUUGGUGGACUCAACAUCUUAUGGAGACCCAACGGUCCUAGAUUCAACCAGCUGCGUAAGCUUGUUAUUUGCGAAAUCAUGAGCAAACAAAGCUUGGAUGCUUGCUACGUGCUUCGUCAACGAGAGGUUCGACGAAUGGUGAAGGAGAUUCACGGAAAAGUUGGUUCCUCAGUUAACAUAUAUAAACAAUUAUCAGCAACCGCUCUACGAGUGAUGAUGAGCACGCUAUGGGGUGAUGAUCCAUCGCAAGAUUUGAUUGAGUUUAGGAAACGAUUGGAUGAAAUUAUAGUGACAUUUGCAGCGCCGAAUGUUUCUGAUCUUUUCCCAAUUCUGGCCCCAUUUGAUUUACAAGGAAUUGAAUCCAAAGCGAAGGAGCAAGUGUCGUGGUUUUAUGGGGUUUUUGAAUCAAUGAUAAAGAACCGAAGAAACAUUAGAGAUGAUGGAAAAGAGAAGGAGAAAAUUAGCAAGGAUUUUAUGCAGCAAUUGUUGGAGCUGCACUGGCGAGGAGAUGAGAAAAACUCUUUAUCCAUCAACGAAGUGAAAGCUUUGCUUCUGGUAAAUAACUUUAACACAAUAACAUCCACAUAAGUGUUGAUAUUUUCCAUUUUACAAUAUUUAUCUCUAAAUCUCAUAGGAUUUGAUGGUCGCCGGUACGGAUACAGUACCCACUGCUGUAGAGUGGGCAAUGACCGAACUAUUACGCCAUCGAGAUAAAAUGACGAAACUCGUAAAGGAAUUGGAUAUGGUGGUCGGAAACCAGAACACUGUGGAAGACUCUCAUAUACCUCAACUUGUCUACUUGGAUGCUGUCAUAAAGGAGACACUUCGUCUUCACCCGGUUGCUCCAUUGCUAAUUCCUCAUGUGCCCAGUGAGACCACUGUUAUUGGUGGAUUUACUGUCCCUAAAGGUUGCACGGUUUUCAUUAAUGUANNNNNNNNNNNNNNNNNNNNNNNNNNNNNNNNNNNNNNNNNNNNNNNNNNNNNNNNNNNNNNNNNNNNNNNNNNNNNNNNNNNNNNNNNNNNNNNNNNNNUUAACUAUCGAGGCAACAAUUUGGGGUUUUUUCCAUUUGGUUCAGGGAGGAGGAUGUGUGUUGGGGUUUCUCUGGCAGAGAAGAUGAUGGCACUGCUCUUGGGCUCUUUGGUGCACUCUUUUGAAUGGGGAUUGUCAGAGGGGACUUAGCCUAGUUUAGAAGAUAAAUUUGGGAUUUUUUUGAAGAAAACGGAAUCACUUGUUGCUAUACCCGUUGCAUGGAGCAAUACCAAUGAAUAUGUUCAGUUUGUGUGUAAUCAUAAGCAAUAUGAUACGCAUGUUAAAUAAUUGUUACUACGUAAGAAAAUAAAUAAGACUUUACAUAAUAAAGUUGAACCAUUAGAGAUUAUAAAUCUCUUAGGUUUAAAUCCUAAAAAUUUAUAUGGAUAUGUUUUUAAAUGAAAUAUAUA
rnacentral:lncRNA from 1 species